UAACAUGAUACGCUUAGUUCCAUAUGGAAGCGGGGGAACCAAAUCAUGGGGCGAAUUCCGAAAGGAUAGGAUAACUCUUUCAAUCCGAGCCCGUCAGCUAACCUCGUAGGCGUUGAAAGAGGAGAC
rnacentral:sRNA from 1 species